UUAAAAAAGCCCACAGGCUGGUCUGAAGAGGAAGACAAACAUAAAGAUGAAGUGCUUAAUUCAAGGUCACACAAUGUCGGGGAUGGACCUCCAGAUUUCCUUACUGGAAAACAAGCUCAGGGCUCCCACUGAUUGUACAUUAUGGUGAGACGUGGUCUUGUAACACAGUGGUUAAGAAUGUGACUUUGGAGCCAGCCUGCUAGGGGCUGAAUUCUGACUCAGCCAUUUACUAACUGUGUGACCUUAGGUCACAGAAUUUUCCACACUCCUUGACAGAGGUGCUUAACCCUUAUCCAUCAGCAUUCUCAGACAGCACCUCCGGUUAGGGACAGUAUCUGACCGUCCGACAUCCCUGCAGCCCCCAUGUGUCACACAGACUCAGCCUCAGGUAGAUGGUUUCCGUAGAUGGUGGCUUUCUUUGGACCCUUGACAUCAACCAGUUACUAUUUGACUCUUCUGCAGAACCCCAUGUUGACCCCUGCUUUGAGGUGGCAGAGUUAACACUACUCUUCGUUAUAAGCUCUCGUCUGGGGCAACUCAGAAGAACGGGACCAGAUGUGCAGAGGUAAUGAAUACCAGGGAAUCAGGAAACCACUGGAUCAGUUCUUUGAGCCACAGAACAACACUCAUCCCAGCAGCUGGGAAGCUAUCUGCAAAAGUCCAUCUGCAGAAAGGGCUUCCUGGUCUUGCGUGUGGCUGGGCCAUUUCUCUGGAUGCAGGUUUUUCAUUAUACAGUCUUCUCAAAGAACCACCUGCUCUCAACACC
rnacentral:lncRNA from 10 species